rnacentral:rRNA from 1 species
AGAGUUUGAUCCUGGCUCAGAACGAACGCUGGCGGCGUGGAUAAGACAUGCAAGUCGAACGAGAGAAUUGCUAGCUUGCUAAUAAUUCUCUAGUGGCGCACGGGUGAGUAACACGUGAGUAACCUGCCCCCGAGAGCGGGAUAGCCCUGGGAAACUGGGAUUAAUACCGCAUAGUAUCGAAAGAUUAAAGCAGCAAUGCGCUUGGGGAUGGGCUCGCGGCCUAUUAGUUAGUUGGUGAGGUAACGGCUCACCAAGGCGAUGACGGGUAGCCGGUCUGAGAGGAUGUCCGGCCACACUGGAACUGAGACACGGUCCAGACACCUACGGGUGGCAGCAGUCGAGAAUCAUUCACAAUGGGGGAAACCCUGAUGGUGCGACGCCGCGUGGGGGAAUGAAGGUCUUCGGAUUGUAAACCCCUGUCAUGUGGGAGCAAAUUAAAAAGAUAGUACCACAAGAGGAAGAGACGGCUAACUCUGUGCCAGCAGCCGCGGUAAUACAG